UCGGGAAUAUUGCGCAAUGGAGGAAACUCUGACGCAGUGACGCCGCGUAUAGGAAGAAGGUUUUCGGAUUGUAAACUAUUGUCAUUAGGGAAGAAAAAAGACAGUACCUAAGGAGGAAGCUCCGGCUAACUACGUGCCAGCAGCCGCGGUAAUACGUAGGGAGCGAGCGUUAUCCGGAAUUAUUGGGUGUAAAGGGUGCGUAGACGGGAAAAUAAGUUAGUUGUGAAAUCCCUCGGCUCAACUGAGGAACUGCAACUAAAACUGUUAUUCUUGAGUGCAGGAGAGGAAAGUGGAAUUCCUAGU
rnacentral:rRNA from 1 species